rnacentral:rRNA from 1 species
UGGGGAAUAUUGCACAAUGGGCGCAAGCCUGAUGCAGCCAUGCCGCGUGUAUGAAGAAGGCCUUCGGGUUGUAAAGUACUUUCAGCGGGGAGGAAGGGAGUAAAGUUAAUACCUUUACUCAUUGACGUUACCCGCAGAAGAAGCACCGGCUAACUCCGUGCCAGCAGCCGCGGUAAUACGGAGGGUGCAAGCAUUAAUCGGAAUUACUGGGCGUAAAGCGCACGCAGGCGGUUUGUUAAGUCAGAUGUGAAAUCCCCGGGCUCAACCUGGGAACUGCAUCUGAUACUGGCAAGCUUGAGUCUCGUAGAGGGGGGUAGAAUUCCAGGUGUAGCGGUGAAAUGCGUAGAGAUCUGGGGGAAUACCGGUGGCGAAGGCGGCCCCCUGGACGAAGACUGACGCUCAGGUGCGAAAGCGUGGGGAGCAAACAGG